UGGGGAAUUUUGGACAAUGGGCGCAAGCCUGAUCCAGCCAUGCCGCGUGCGGGAAGAAGGCCUUCGGGUUGUAAACCGCUUUUGUCAGGGAAGAAAUCUUCUGAGUUAAUACCUCGGGAGGAUGACGGUACCUGAAGAAUAAGCACCGGCUAACUACGUGCCAGCAGCCGCGGUAAUACGUAGGGUGCAAGCGUUAAUCGGAAUUACUGGGCGUAAAGCGUGCGCAGGCGGUUUUGUAAGACAGAGGUGAAAUCCCCGGGCUCAACCUGGGAACUGCCUUUGUGACUGCAAGGCUUGAGUGCGGCAGAGGGGGAUGGAAUUCCGCGUGUAGCAGUGAAAUGCGUAGAUAUGCGGAGGAACACCGAUGGCGAAGGCAAUCCCCUGGGCCUGCACUGACGCUCAUGCACGAAAGCGUGGGGAGCAAACAGGAUUAGAUACCCUGGUAGUCCACGCCCUAAACGAUGUCAACUGGUUGUUGGGAAGGUUCCUUCUCAGUAACGUAGCUAACGCGUGAAGUUGACCGCCUGGGGAGUACGGCCGCAAGGUUGAAACUUAAAGGAAUUGACGGGGGUCA
rnacentral:rRNA from 1 species